CCGAGUAAGGGCCUUCGGGCUCGACCUCCAACCCUUUGUGAACACAUCUUGUUGCUUCGGGGGCGACCCUGCCGUUCCGACGGCGAGCGCCCCCGGAGGCCUUCAAACACUGCAUCUUUGCGUCGGAGUUUAAGUAAAUUUAAACA
rnacentral:misc_RNA from 1 species